rnacentral:rRNA from 1 species
UACAGAGGGGGCAAGCGUUGUUCGGAAUUACUGGGCGUAAAGGGCGCGUAGGCGGCCUGCUAAGUCGAACGUGAAAUCCCCGGGCUCAACCCGGGAACUGCGUCCGAUACUGGCAGGCUUGAAUCCGGGAGAGGGAUGUGGAAUUCCAGGUGUAGCGGUGAAAUGCGUAGAUAUCAGGAGGAACACCGAUGGCGAAGGCAGGUCUCUGGGCCGAUACUGACGCUGAGGAGCGAAAGCAUGGGGAGCGAACAGG